rnacentral:misc_RNA from 1 species
AACGCAAAUCGCGCUCGAGGCCUCGGCCGAGAGCAUGCCUGCCUCAGCGUCGUUCCAACACCUCCCCCCUCCGGCUUUGCCCGAGGGGAGGGACCUGGUCGUUUCGACGGCCGCCGUCGAAUCGGCCGAAAUUCAGAAGGGCCCUUCGAUCACCGAGGGCGACCGAGAGGUGGAUGCCCGCGGGCGGACCCGAUCGGCGCUCGAUCGAAGGAUGGCUCUCGCAGCCGGAGAACACACCAUCCACUUUGACCUGAGUUCAGGCAAGGGCACCCGCUGAACUUAA